UGGGGUGGAGCUCAGUGGUAGAGGCUUGCCUAAUGUGCAUGAGGCCCUGGGUUCCAUCCCCAGCAUCACAG
rnacentral:tRNA from 1 species